GUCCUAGGCUGAUCUUUCAGAUACAAUUUGAAGUUGAUGCUUUGAUUGGCAUCCACUUGAGCUGCAAGCCCCGCCCCGGGCUCGCCUUCCCUCCUCCUCCUCCUUCCUCUCUCUCUCUCUCUCUCUCUCUCUCUCUCUCUCUCUCUCUCUCUCUCUCUCUCUCUCUCUCUCUCUCUCUCUCUCUCUCUCACUCUCUUUCUCUGUCUCUCUGUCUCUAUCUCUGUCUCUGUCUCCCCCCUGUCCUUUUCUCACCCUCCCUUUUCUCUCCUUCCCCCCUCCCUCCUUUCUCCCUGGGUGAAACACGUGGUGUACAGCCCUGGCUGGGCCACUUUCCACUGUGUGUGUGUAUCUAAUGUUUAGCAAUGGGCUCCUUUCAGAAAAGCCCCCACUGCUGUAUGACAACCUGUCUACACGAUUUUACAGCUGUCCAACAUUGGGGUUUUGCUGUUUUGCAGCCUUAGUGUGUCCCCUUUAAACAAAAACAACUGUGCUGCUGUUUUUUCCACCUUUAACACUGAGUCCCCCUUGUCGUCGGUCGUCUCGAGAACAAAUGAGUGGCCGUCGGAGGAAGAGAGGCUUUACAGCCUGGUGACUGGUAACAAUUUGCCACCAAAAGAGAGAGAGAGAGAGAGAGAGAGAGAGAGAGAGAGAGAGAGAGAGAGAGAGGAGAGUUUUAUUAAAGUCAAAAUGCUUCUUAUAAGCAUUUCCCAGAAAUCUUUAGUAUACAUAAAUCUCGAUCAUCAUGCCAAUAAAUUGAUAUCCCCUGACAAUACCAGGGUGAAAAUCGGCAGCAUUUCCAAUUUAGAACAUUAAUAACAGAUAAUCUUUCAAAUAAACAAGUUGUAGUUUAGGAUGUGGAAAAUAUCCUCAGUGAAGGUUUUUGGAAUUGUCAAAACUUUGAAAGUUUCUGGAGUUUCUAAUUCAAAUUGAAUACUUUUAUGCUAAAAAAUACAUUUUGAUCUAUUAUUUGUACAGAAAACAAAUUUUCAACAUAGGUUGAAACAUUAGCUUGAUUCCCUCCCCCUUUCUCCUGAAUUCAACCAGUGAGGGAAAGUAGUUAGUUAAAGCUGGGCAAUCAUUUGUCACUUUAAUUUUCGGUGUUCUAAAAGUGAACUUGUCUGUUGAGCCAAGUUUUGGAAUUUUCAACAUUAAGAGCUAGAACUCAGGAAGUCUGUCAGAAAUCAGAAAUCUCUCUCUCUCUCUCUCUCUCUCUCUCUCUCUCUCUCUCUCUCUCUCUCUCUCUCUCUCUCUCUCUCUCUCUGUGUGUGUGUGUGUGUGUCUGUCCCUCCCCUUCCCUCCUUUACUCCCUCUUCUCUUCCUUUCUCAUUUUGCCUCCUCUAAUAUCCUCUCUUCUUCUUGCCUCUUUUCUUUCUGAUUUUUUCGUCUACCCUUCUUUUCUCCAUCCUAUUUCUUUAUUCUUCUCUCCUUUAAGUUAUACACAGUCCUCUCCCCUCCCCCCUCCACUCUCUCGAGUUUCUUCCUCCUCCCCUUCCUCUUUUCUUUUUUGUCAUCUCUCAAGUGAACUGAAUAGAUCAACCUUGACUUCAUCAGAGAAUCUACAGUUUGGGAGUUAAAGGGAGAAGAAAAUCAACUGUAUUCAUCCCCAUUCUGGUUUGACUGCUUCCUGGAAUUCCUCACAACUGUCAUACUUUCGUGCGGUCUGGAAAGCCACCCCACUUUGUGACAACAAGGCAUGUGUCAAACAAUUACAGGAGGAGGGGCAAGGUAGCUCUACUCAAUGGCAAAGUAUCCCCUCCCUUCUCCGUUCAUUCCAGGGCUAUCGGGACUUUGUGUAUAUCAUGUGCACUGGGAGACAUUUAAUGGAACCCUGUCCAAGAGAGAGAAACUAUAAGUUCAAAUCCAGGCUCCCCCAUUUCCCAUUUGAGUGAGUACAGGCAGAACACUUACCUUUCUGAAUCUCAAUCUCCUCAUCUGUAAUUUGGGGAUAAUACUUAACAAUAAUUAAGCAAAUUGGUAUGAGAUAUAGAAACUAAGAUACUGGGAAAUUAAAUUUGGUCAGCACUACAUAGCCUCCUAAUAAAAGAAAAUAGAUUUAAAUGCACAUAAUUCAUAAUCCUUUGCACUGAAACAAGUGUGGCAGCUGUUUCUCACUGCCUCCAGAUGCUUUGACAUCAUGCUGAGAGUGAACAUGGCAAAGGAUUGAGAUCAUUUUACAAGUUGAGGACUUCGUGACAUUUCUGUUGGGCUUGGGGGAGUGGUUUGUCUAAGGUCACCUGGCCAACCAGUAAUAAGCUCAUGAUUAGUCAGUCUAGUAAUCUAUUUGCUAUACCAGUGGUUCUUAAGACUUGUCAAUCCCUUGAUAUAACACCUUUUUGGACUUCUGUUUUGUGUUGACAAAAGAAGCUGUUGCAUUGCAACAAGAAGUUACCAUGCUUAACCUUUGGCAAAGUGAGUCAAGUGAUUAAUACUCCCUAACUCUUACUUCUUCAUCUCUGUGAAAUGUGGUGCUCCUCUUCAUAACAGAAAUACACAUAUGCAUGUGCACACAUACUUGA